CCCUAACCUAAAUAUCUUUAACUCUUCAAUUCUUCCGCUAUUCUCUAACUAUUUCCCAUUUAUUUUCUUUUCUUUAUCAAACCAAAUAUUUUCCUUCGAGUUUUUUUUAUUGAUAUAAUCAUGGAAAAUGAUGGAAUAGACAAGACUACAACAAAUAAAAAGAGAAGUAGAACUUUGUUGGGUUUUUACCAAAAUGUGCCUAGGAAUGUUGAUUGUAGUAAUCCAUUAUCUUCAGAAG